AACGAACGUUGGCGGCGUGGAUUAGGCAUGCAAGUCGAACGAAGACGGUUGGGUAGCAAUAUUUGACCGGACUGAGUGGCGAAAGGGGCAGUAAUGCGUGGGCAACCUACCUCCGGGAUGGGCAUAGCCGGCCCUAACGGACCGGGUAAUUCCCAGCGAUUUGGCGAGGCGGCAUCGUCUUGCCGAAGAAAUGGAUUCCCGCCUGGAGAGGGGCUCACGUCGUAUUAGCUAGUUGGCGGGGAACGGCCCACCAAGGCGAAGAUGCGUAGCGGGUGUGAGAGCACGACCCGCGCCACUGGCACUGAGACACUGGCCAGACACCUACGGGUGGCUGCAGUCGAGGAUCUUUGGCAAUGGGCGCAA
rnacentral:rRNA from 1 species